rnacentral:rRNA from 1 species
AGAGUUUGAUUCUGGCUCAGGACGAACGCUGGCGGCGUGCCUAACACAUGCAAGUCGAACGGAACUCAUUGGAACGAGAUUUCGGUCAAGUGAAGAUGACGUUUAGUGGCGGACGGGUGAGUAACGCGUGAGCAACCUGCCUUUCAGAGGGGGACAACAGUUGGAAACGACUGCUAAUACCGCAUAAUAUGUAUUUAAGGCAUCUUAGAUACAUCAAAGAUUUAUCGCUGAGAGAUGGGCUCGCGUCUGAUUAGCUGGUUGGUGAGGUAACGGCUCACCAAGGCGACGAUCAGUAGCCGGACUGAGAGGUUGAACGGCCACAUUGGGACUGAGAUACGGCCCAG